rnacentral:rRNA from 1 species
CAGCCGCCGCGGUAAUACGGAGGGGGCAAGCGUUAUCCGGAAUUAUUGGGCGUAAAGGGUACGUAGGUGGCCUUUUAAGCGUAGGGUAUAAGGCAAUGGCUCAACCAUUGUUCGCCCUAUGAACUGGAAGGCUUGAGUGCAGGAGAGGAAAGCGGAAUUCCUAGUGUAGCGGUGGAAUGCAUAGAUAUUAGGAGGAACAUCAGCGGCGAAGGCGGCUUUCUGGACUGCAACUGACACUGAGGUACGAAAGCGUGGGGAGCAAACGGGAUUAGAUACCCGAGUAGUCCCUGUCUCUUAUACA